rnacentral:lncRNA from 1 species
UGCCGGAUGUAACUAAAAUGUAGGAAUUAGCUAAAAGUCGAAGUAACUAAGAAAACAACAAAAAAUAACAAAAAUAAAAAUACUAUAAAUACAAACAAAAAAAAUAGUAAAAACAAUGUAAAGGAACCGAAAAUAAAAUUAUAAAGAAAUUAAAAUAUCAAGCAACUAAAAUAGUAAAGCUCAGAUAUCACCGGAGUACUCCUGUGUAUCCUGGUCACGACAAUUUUGGUGUCGAAAAUUGGUCGCCGGAGUAAGGUCGCCGGAAAUAGUCUGGCUAUGUGUCGCCGGAAUGUUACCUGAGAUUCCUCUCGGUGUUGCCAGGAGCUGGUCUCCCGUGGACUUCUUACCUCCUGUAUUAAACCAGUUCAGACCGGUCUUCACCAUUCCACCGACGCCGGAGUCGAGCCGACGGAAACCCUAGCUCCUCCGAAGAUGACAAAGGUGCGAUGAUAAAAUGAACUGUAGGGGGUAGGGGACUUGGGAGGGGGGAGGGGAAGAGAGAGAGAGAGAGAGAGAAAAGUGAGGGAGGGAGGGGGUGUGGCUUCACCUAUUUACGGCGCUUCUACACCGUUGCCGGCGUCGGCCGGUCAGACAGUGACCAUUGAAAGUGAAAAGGAACGUUAAGAGGAGAGAGAAGAAAAGGAACCUUUUCAAUCAUUUACAGUAG